rnacentral:rRNA from 1 species
UACAGAGGGUGCGAGCGUUAAUCGGAGUUACUGGGCGUAAAGGGCGCGUAGGCGGUUAUGUGUGUGAGACGUGAAAGCCCCGGGCUUAACCUGGGAAAGUCGUCUUAAACUGCAUGACUGGAGUACUGUAGAGGGUAGUGGAAUUUCCGGUGUAGCGGUGAAAUGCGUAGAGAUCGGAAGGAACACCAGUGGCGAAGGCGGCUACCUGGACAGAUACUGACGCUGAGGCGCGAAAGCGUGGGGAGCAAACAGG